AACGAACGCUGGCGGCAUGCCUAACACAUGCAAGUCGAACGAAUGCCUUCGGCUGUUGUGGGCUGACGGGGGCGUAAAGGGGGGAGUUCCGCGCUAGGAUCCGGAAUAUCAGCUUGAAAUGACUUCUAAUAACGGGGGAUAACUCGAGAUCAAAGAUCUAUCGGCUGGGGAUGGGCUCGCGUUGGAUUAGGGAGGUGGUGGGGUAAAGGCCUACCAAGCUGACGGUGCAUAGCUGGUCUGAGAGGAUGAUCAGCCACACUGGGACUGAGACACGGCCCAGAAUCCUACGGGAGGCAGCAGUGGGGAAUAUUGGACAAUGGGGGCAAGCCUGAUCCAGCAAUGCCGCGUGAGUGAUGAAGGCGCUAGGGUUGUAAAGCUCUUUUACCCGGGAAGAUAAUGACUGUACCGGGAGAAUAAGCCCCGGCUAACUCCGUG
rnacentral:rRNA from 1 species